UCUAUCUUAGUCUGUGCAGGCGUUCAGGAAUCGACACAAUCUCAGACAAUUCCUCCAGAUGAUUCUUACACUUUAAAAUCCCUCAAGGCUUAGAAACGAGUGAAGCUUUAAUUUUCGGAGCAGCCGUUUAGAGGCACCUCUCAGCCCUGGUGAAAGGCUUUCAGCUGUGCCCUCAGUGAUCGGUCACGGCCAACCCAGCGAAGGACAUGCAGGGUCAGGGCUCACGUCUUAGAAAUGUUUGCAGGUUCCCAGCAUCAGGACAAGACAAACCACGGCUUCCUUUGGAUCACUAUUCUGAAGCCCAGCGAUGGAUCCCACUUUCUGUGGAACCCUCCAUUUCCAAGUUUGUACCACCACCAACCCGCUCAUGGAAAUGAUCUGGGACGUCAGCCUAUGCGUGUGUCCUAGGGCAAUGGUUCUCAAACUUUAACAUGAAAGGAACUUGCUAAAUUGCAGUCUUUGGCCUCACCCGAGAGAAUCUGACCGGGUAGAUCUGGGGGUGAGCCUAGGAAUCUGCAUUUUCAACUAGUGGCUCAAGCCGGGGAUGCUGGUAGGCACGGACCACAGUUGGAGAGAAGUUAUAUUGUGCUGUCAUUCCUGCCCUGAGGCUUACACAAAUUCUCAGCUUUCCAAUUAAAAGCUUGUCUGCAGCUGCCUCCCCUGCAAAUACGGAAAACGUGGGGCAGUUUGUGUUUAUUGAUUGUGCAGACUUCCCAGCAGGCAGGGUAAGUUUCCCGGUAGGGAUCGCUUUGUCUCUUCCCUUCUCAUCCUUCGGGCUGUCGACAGACUACAUCACCCACGUCUCCCUUUCCUGCUCAGCGCUCGAACACCGAGAAGAAAUCGAUUUGUCAAAAUGAGUGAGAAGAUAUUUCCCGGAGAUGAAGGCUUAUGAGGACAGAACCCUCACUUUCUUUCAGAGUAACCUUCCUUAGAGGCUGGAAAGAAGCAGAGGUGGCUCUCGGAUCCCGUGGCUAAGUUUCAGAGUCGUUUUAAGGGCGGUGAAUGUUUGACUCUGCAAUGCUCAAGGAAGAAAUAUCUAAUUAAACAGCUAGAAGAGGCAACACCAAUGUCAAGUAGGAGGCUGCAGUUCAUAGAUUUAGAGAGGAGGCUCGAGUCUCAAGAACAGUUGGUGAUUCUUAGCAAAACCCAAUGUUUAAGAUUCUAAAAAUCCAACGGAGUAGAAUAAAAUAUAUAUAUAUAUA